UACGUAGGGAGCGAGCGUUAUCCGGAUUUAUUGGGUGUAAAGGGUGCGUAGACGGGAAGUCAAGUUAGUUGUGAAAGCCCUCGGCUCAACUGAGGAACUGCAACUAAAACUGAUUUUCUUGAGUACUGGAGAGGAAAGUGGAAUUCCUAGUGUAGCGGUGAAAUGCGUAGAUAUUAGGAGGAACACCAGUGGCGAAGGCGACUUUCUGGACAGAGACUGACGUUGAGGCACGAAAGUGUGGGGAGCAAACAGG
rnacentral:rRNA from 1 species